ACGGAAGGCAGCAGUGGGGGAUAUUGCACAAUGGGGGAAACCCUGAUGCAGCGACGCCGCGUGAGUGAAGAAGUAUUUCGGUACGUAAAGCUCUAUCAGCAGGGAAGAAAAUGACGGUACCUGACUAAGAAGCACCGGCUAAAUACGUGCCAGCAGCCGCGGUAAUACGUAUGGUGCAAGCGUUAUCCGGAUUUACUGGGUGUAAAGGGAGCGUAGACGGAUGGCUAAGUCUGAUGUGAAAGGUGAGGGCUCAACCCUUAAACUGCAUUGGAAACUGGUCAUCUAGAGUGUCGGAGAGGUAAGUGGAAUUCCUAGUGUAGCGGUGAAAUGCGUAGAUAUUAGGAGGAACACCAGUGGCGAAGGCGGCUUACUGGACGAUAACUGACGUUGAGGCUCGAAAGCGUGGGGAGCAAACAGGAUUAGAUACCCUGGUA
rnacentral:rRNA from 1 species